GUUUUAUCUGGCAACAUGUUUACAUUCAACAAUAAAAUAAUAGCAACUUUACUGGAUUCUUUCCAUGGAUUGCUUAAUAGUUUUGCGUUUUAUAAUAAUUUUAACAUUCUUGUUCUCACACGUUCAGUGUCUUAGCUUCACAAUCUUACAUAAUAAUGAUAUGCACGCCCGAUACGAUCCAGCUGUCAGCGGUGUCCCUCAGGUGACGAUGAGAAGGGCUUGUGUUUUGGAGGAUUGGGUAGGGUAGCUACAGUUGUGAACAGGGCUCGAGUUAAGGGUGCAACGCUUUAUCUUAAGGCGAUACUUUUUACGGCAUCAAUUGGUAAACAGCCCAUAAGGGGGAAUGGACAGCUGAUCUCUUGAAUAUAAUACAUCCCGAUGCCUUGUCGCUUGGCAAUCACGAACUCCAUGACGACCUG